AUUGAACGCUGGCGGCGUGCUUAACACAUGCAAGUCGUGCGGUAACAGGCGUAGCAAUACGUGCUGACGAGCGGCGAACGGGUGCGUAAUACAUGGGAAUCUGCCCUUUAGUGGGGAAUAACCCGGCGAAAGCCGGGCUAAUGCCGCAUAAGAUCUUCGGAUGAAAGCGGGGGAUCGUAAGACCUCGCGCUGAUGGAUGAGCCCAUGUCGGAUUAGCAGUUGGUGAGGUAACGGCUCACCAAGGCGACGAUCCGUAGCUGGUCUGAGAGGACGGCCAGCCACACUGGGACUGAGACACGGCCCAGACUCCUACGGGAGGCAGCAGUGGGAAUAUUGGACAGUGGGGAACCCUGAUCCAGCGACGCCGCGUGUGUGAAGAAGGCCUGCGGGUUGU
rnacentral:rRNA from 1 species